UAGUACCGCAGAUCUCGCCACAUGGGUGCGCUGUUGUACUUUCUGCCGCGCCACAGUACAUUCUCUCUCUGCUCUGCUCUUGUUUAGUGUGUGCCACACGCCCUCACAGUUUCUGUCACACACUCAGACAACGUGAGUUCAGAAUCCGGUUGUCUUAAGUUAAACGCACUAAGAAACACCUGAACGAACAGAGACGAGCUGCUGUCCGGUAUCUGACUCGGGUCUCACUCUGAGCACAUCAUUGGUUCCGGUGACAUCCGUUACCAUACCGCACUGAUGACAUCUUAUUUAAUCACGCAGCAGACGACAAGACAAGAAACCUGUGCUAUCAGCCAAAGACACUACAUAAAAAAUAUGCAGCUCAGAAAGAGCAAGAAAGAAGGGGUACACUGCAGUGUUCACUCUUCUGUUUCACUGGGGACAUCAGGAACAGGUAAAAUUAAUCAUUUGGUCGACAUAUUCCUUGUAGGCUUGUCUGUUCCUGUAUGGAUGAUCAAUAUAACCACGGCCCCACAGAUAGAAAGAAACCAAGAAGACCAGCAUCUCAAGACAAGUUAAGGCCAUAAAAGGCGAACCAGUGAA